rnacentral:rRNA from 1 species
AUGGCUAUGCGUGAACAGCUAAUCGGCAUGGAGCAUCUCCACCACGAGCUCAUGUCGCUAAUCAUGAGAAGAUAUUCUCAAUCUGACCAAGAAGCCAACUCAGAAAGCCCAUACAUGAAUUGGAGGCACAACAUGGAACCUGAUUUUGCGACCAUUGUCUUGGCGGACCAUGAAUAUGUGACAAACAUUUCGAUUCAGAAACAGCUGGUGGGGAAGGACAUCCCGUACGACAUAACCUCUUCCCAGAUGUUCUUCUUGCCAGUCCCAUUGGAGGACGGCUGGAUCAUACUCAUGUGGGACAUGAUGGCAAGGAAGCUGCAUGUGCUUGACCCACUUAUUAGAGGAGAUGGCCCAAGCGACACAAAGAAGGAUAGCCUUGAAUUGAUUGCCUGGAAGCUACAUCAUGCGCUAUUCCACUGCUUGAAUGAGUACUACGCUGGAUGGCCAACGCAAGAUGGUCAGUGGGCGACAAAUUACCCCGCCGUAGCUGAGGAAAAUUUCGAUAGGGUUGAAACUGGGGCGUGUGUACUGCACAUCGCCAGGCACUAUGAUGGCAAGAAGCUGAAGAUCCCCCGAACAAAGAUAACCGAGGACCGCUUGCUGGAAUGGAGUCAUUGA